rnacentral:misc_RNA from 1 species
GAUGAAGAACGCAGCGAAAUGCGAUAAGUAAUGCGAAUUGCAGAAUUCCAGUGAGUCAUCGAAUCUUUGAACGCACAUUGCGCCCUUUGGUAUUCCGAAGGGCAUGCCUGUUCGAGCGUCAUUAUCACCCCUCAAGCCCUCGGCUUGGUGUUGGACGGUUUGGUGGAGGCCCCCUCGGGGGCUCCUGCCCCUCCCAAAGACAACGACGGCGGCCUCGUUGGACCCCCGGUACACUGAGUUCUUCACGGGACACGUAUCGGACACAUGGGUUUACGGGACACGGUCUGCCUCCCCUCAGGGAGAAUCUUUCUAAGGUUGACCUCGGAUCAGGUAGGGAUACCCGCUGAACUUAAGCAUAUCAAUAAGCGGAGGA